rnacentral:rRNA from 1 species
GACGAACGCUGGCGGCGUGCUUAACACAUGCAAGUCGAACGGUGAAGCGCCUUCCUUUUUGGUGGGUGUGGAUGAGUGGCGAACGGGUGAGUAACACGUGAGUAACCUGCCCCCUUCUUCUGGAUAACCGCAUGAAAGUGUGGCUAAUACGGGAUAUUCUGGGUCUGUCGCAUGAUGGGUCUGGGAAAGAUAUUGUUUCGGUGGGGGAUGGGCUCGCGGCCUAUCAGCUUGUUGGUGGGGUGAUGGCCUACCAAGGCGGUGACGGGUAGCCGGCCUGAGAGGGUUGACGGUCACACUGGGACUGAGACACGGGCCAGACUCCUACGGGAGGCAGCAGUGGGGAAUAUUGCACAAUGGGCGCAAGCCUGAUGCAGCGACGCCGCGUGAGGGAUGGAGGCCUUCGGGUUGUGAACCUCUUUCGCCAGUGAAGCAGGCCUGCCUCGUUUGUGGGUGGGUUGACGGUAGCUGGAUAAGAAGCGCCGGCUAACUACGUG